rnacentral:lncRNA from 1 species
GAGAUUUCCACCUACUGAAAUGUUUCCAUACUUAAUUUCUACUCAGAGAACCUGAAGUCACUUCUAACAGUAUCUCUCAAGACCGAUCAUCGGCGGCCUAGCAACAGUGUCUUGCUAAGCUGGGAAACAUGGUUUGGUGAGAAGGUCUCUAACUUCUGUCAAGACUCAGUUCUGCCACUCUCCACAAUGACUCUGGGCAAGGUGCUUCAGAGAACUAUCCCAGCAUGGCCUUGUCCUGGACUGCAUGGGGUUCAUUCUUCAUCCUCAAUGGUCAGGAGCCACUUCCAGCAGGUGCCCAAGGAGGACAAAGGAUCCAGGCUUCACUUCUCCUGAUGGAGCAAAAGGAGUACCAGGAGAUAAACGGUGAUUCCAGACUGGAUCUCAGACAACACUGGAAGCAUCUCCAGGCUUUCAGAACACCAGACUAAUCCAUAUGAAUGGAAAGGACAGUUCAUUUGUCCUUUCCUGUGACCCUCAUUCUGUCCCAGAUGGACCACGCUAAAGAGGAUGUGGAGUAUGAAGUCUGUCUGAAUAUGUGAAAGGACUGACACCAGGGUUGUUGUCAAGCUGUGGGGCCUUUGUUGAGCCAGAGAUACGGCUUGAAGGGAGAAAAUGAAACAUAGGUUGUGGCUCAGUUCUCAGCUAAGUACCCAGUUGAGUAGAGUAAGUGAGCUGCCUACGCAAGUCAGCCAGAGGAAGACACAGAUGUCAGGGAAG